GUACUUGCUUCUGUAGCACAUAUACUAAAAUUGGAAAGAUACAAACAUUAGCAUGGCCCCUGUGCAAGGAUGACAUGCAAAUUUGUGAAGUGUUCUUCUCUUUU